UUUUGUUGUGGGAGGCGUAUGGGUUAACCCUAGUUUUCUGUUCUGCGGAUUUGUGAUGUUGUGUCAAACACACCUAUCCGAUUUGCAUACAUUUGGAUUCGUGGUCCAAUGUGUGAUAUGCCUAUGUGGCAUUAUUUUGGUUGCCUUUGUGGCAUCAUUUAACUUGCCUAUGUGGCAUUAUUUUAACUUGCAUGUGUGGCAUUGUUUUGACUUGCCUGUGUGGCAAUAUAUAUUUCUGAGCUCAUUCGGUAUGAAAUAAAACUCAACCAUUUGAUUCAACCUAUUAAUUCAUUGUAUUAGUUUUGUUUGUUUCUGUUCAGUUCAAUUCAUUGAGUUAGAUACUUCAGUUAGUUAUUUCUUUAUUCUUCUAUUGGUUUCGUCAAUUCUGUUGAUUCAGAUAUAUUCCAUUCAUAUCUUUGGAGAUUAUAUUUUCGUCCGUAUUUACACUUGAGGCUUUGUUUAGUAUUUUGUCUUAGUUGUUUUAGUAUAUCAGUUGUAUAUCUGUAUCCGUACUGGGCAAUUGGCUCAUGCUGUAUUUUUCUUUUAGCAGGUUUGCAGGGGUGAUUCAGGGCUAGUGUGAUGAGAGAGUUUUCUUUGACCAUCUAGGUUGUUUCAAUUUUUGGUUUUGGUUAAUUUGACUCUAGUUGGAGAAUUGUAUUUAGUACUUCAUUGAUGGAUAUCACUAUUAAUAUUUUGAAGUUAUUAGUGCUCUGUUUACUUAUUUUGAGGUUUGUUAUGCUUCGCACGUGACCUCCCUUUCCGUUUCGGGAAGGGGGUGUUACACAAUUCCUAUCCAGAUAGUUGACAUGAAAGAACAAGUGCUCAAGAAUAAAGUGAUACCUUCUGUGAAGGUGAUGUGGAGGAACCAUAAUACCAAGGAAGCUACGUGGGAACUCGAAGACAAGAUGAUGAAAAGCUAUCCUAAGUUAUUUGUUUGAUCUGUGUCUUCAAUUCUGGGGACAGAAUCCUUAUAAGGAGGGAAGAAUGUAACGAAUGAAUUGUUAGAAUUGUGAUUUUGGGGACAAAAUCCUUGUAAGAAGGGAAUGAUG
rnacentral:lncRNA from 1 species